rnacentral:rRNA from 1 species
GAUGAACGCUGGCGGCGUGCCUAAUACAUGCAAGUCGAGCGAACGGAUUAAGAGCUUGCUCUUAUGAAGUUAGCGGCGGACGGGUGAGUAACACGUGGGUAACCUGCCCAUAAGACUGGGAUAACUCCGGGAAACCGGGCUAAUACCGGAUAAUAUUUUGAACUGCAUAGUUCGAAAUUGAAAGGCGGCUUCGGCUGUCACUUAUGGAUGGACCCGCGUCGCAUUAGCUAGUUGGUGAGGUAACGGCUCACCAAGGCAACGAUGCGUAGCCGACCUGAGAGGGUGAUCGGCCACACUGGGACUGAGACACGGCCCAGACUCCUACGGAGGCAGCAGUAGGGAAUCUUCCGCAAUGGCGAAAGCCUGACGCAGCGACGCCGCGUGGGUGAUGAAGGCCUUCGGUCGUAAGACCGUGUCGCAGGGAG